rnacentral:rRNA from 1 species
UACGAAGGGAGCUAGCGUUGUUCGGAAUCACUGGGCGUAAAGCGCACGUAGGCGGACUCUUAAGUCGGUGGUGAAAUCCUGGAGCUCAACUCCAGAACUGCCUUCGAUACUGAGAGUCUCGAGUCCGGGAGAGGUGAGUGGAACUGCGAGUGUAGAGGUGAAAUUCGUAGAUAUUCGCAAGAACACCAGUGGCGAAGGCGGCUCACUGGCCCGGUACUGACGCUGAGGUGCGAAAGCGUGGGGAGCAAACAGG